CGAAAAAGAGGUCCUGCCUUGGAUGCAUUUGGAGGCCCCGUCUCUCUAGCAGGACACAUAUCAAGAAGUGCAGGAAGUGCAAAAAGCACUUUAGAAGGGCCCGAAUUUGAGAUUUGGCAACUCCGGCAAAAGGCUUGUCUUCUCCGACUGCACAUGAACCUAGACGAGGGACAUCUACACCAAUAGGCGAGCGACACAUAUUGGAUCUCCAUUUCGAGCAAGCGCUUGAAAUAAAUUCGGUGAACAUGAAAUUUAAGGGCAACGAUGUUUGCGCAUUGAGGAACCGAAAAUUUUGAAGAUGCAAAUACAAACGAGUUUUGGCGUCAUGCUAUAGAUGAUGAGUUGGGGUCAAUCUUGGACAACAAGGCAUGGGAGCUCUUGAUAUACCCAACGGACAUAAUGGCAUAGAGCUCAAGUGGAUGUGUAAAGUCAAGAAGGAUGCCAAAGGAAACUUGAUGAAGCAUAAACUAAGGCUUGUGACUAAAGCAAGAAUGAUGUUCGGUCAACAUUUUAGUGCAUAGAACAUAUCAUCGUUUUCAUGAACAGAGAUGAGUAGUUUGUAUUUGUAAUGUACCCGUGAAAAAAUUCUCAGAACAUUUUUACGCUCAUAGUAACUUUUCCUGGAAAAUUAAUUCAAACAAAAAAGAAGUGAUUUUACAACUGUACGUGCCCAAAGGCCCUACUAUAUUAUCUUGCACCAGGGACCCUCGUAUAUCCAGGCCGGCCCUGCGAUCAACAUGAGACAGUUUCAAGCUCACAGUCAGUAGAGUUCGGAUCCUAAUUUAACAGAAGCAGAAGCUACCACCCGCUUUGUCUCUAACAGAAUCUAUCAUCUGCCCUCACAAAGAGGGCCAAAUAGCUUGGCACCGUAGUUUGGCGGUUCCUCGUGUCCUCUAUCCCCCAAAUCUUUAUUACAUUGCUCCUGUAUGCUAACUAUUGGAUUAUGUAACUAAAAAUGUGUCAACUAGUAGAGAUUGAUCCUACUACUUGACUAAAGAUGGAAUGGUAUGUUUUAAUAGAGAUGAACAAUGACUAGUAUUCAUAACCAUCCUUGUAGGUAGUAAGAACAUUACUAUUUUUCUGUUAUUUCAUUAAAAAAAUGUACGUAUACACAUUUAUCCUUGUUAUUCCUUCUUUAAUCCAUAAUGGCAUAGUUGAAUAAAUGCAGCUCCUCUGAAGUCUUCAUAUGGGCUCCAUGCCCAUGAUGUAUCGAGGUUCUAUACCUCCACUAGCUGCAAACGAAAGACCAAGGUUAGUAUUUUUGAAGCAGCAAAUAAGCAAAAAAAUUGCGUUCUCAGACAAAGUACAAGACCUUACAAGGCGAUAGCUCACAUGGACUAGGCUGCCCAAAUGCCAGCGAAACCACAUUUGGACCAUCGGUUUCAGAUUAUCUGGACCUAAGCAGACUAGAGUCAAAAGUUGCAGGACCAUGGGUGUGUCUUACUAGUCUUAUUGGUGUCAGCCCCUAUCAUUUUGUCUGCAUAACCACCCUAAGGGCAAAGUGGAAUAUCUUGAGUAUUUAUUUAAGCAUGUUUGCUUGUAGUUACAAGGAUGUGAUAGGCCAUCUCUCUCCAUGUGUCCAUUUGUCUGCUAGAUGACCCGUUGCAUCCUUGGCGCAAAGAACAAUUGCAACCAAGAAGCUAAGCUACCUAUGAACAACAUGUUUUACAAAUGAUCCACAAAAGAGAAAAAACCAAAUGCAACCGAGAAGGUUACUGAACCAUAGUAAGGAUGCUUUUCUUAGUUACCUGCGAAUGAUUAUGUUCAAUUCUACGUAUGUAUCUGUCAUGUAUUUAUUAAUGAUAGAUUAUGAUGAUCACUGCACAUGGGUUUCUCCAUUGGUCUUCAGCCACAUCCAUGCCUUACACUAAUGGAAUAAGGUUCUUCCCCGCCUAGCCCCCAUUCUCAUGUUGCGUCUAGCAUCAUUGGAGGUCGUGUGGAAAUUUGUCUCCUUAGGAUCUCACUAGAUUUGGUCGGCAUUCGUCUUUGAUGGAUCCACUUGGAUCCGGUUUUUGACUUUUCGUUCAUAUGUGUUCUAGUGGUCGCCAGGUGGUCUAUGGAUCUAGAUCUAGUUUCUUACUUCUAGUGUUCAUUAUACUACAUUGAUAGUUUAUGAAUGGAUCUAGAUUUUUCCCUUCAAAAAAGAAAAAUUGUUAUCAAACUGUUACAAAGUAGAUUGUUAUUUAAUAAAGCAUAACACACUUAAUAAUUACAUAUCCCAAUAUGCACACUUAAAAGGUUGUGCACAUUUUGUUCGAAAGGAAAAAAGAUUUGAG
rnacentral:lncRNA from 1 species